GAUCCUUGAACCUUUUCUGAGCUAUUUCUGAUUUUUUGACUUCGUGACUUGUGAGAGAAGUAGAGAAGGAUAGUAUCAUGAUGUAGUAGUUGUAUCUUGUAUGUAGUCCACGGUCAAGACUGAAGAAGAGGCCUAGUCAAAAACCCUAUCUAUGCUUUCUUAUGGCAAUUGAGAAUUGGGAAUCAAAUUCAAUAGCACCCAAAUCCACCAUCAAGAUACCAAAAAUGCUUCAGUGUCUCUCCCUCAAAUCAUCAUCAUCAUCAACAAAUUCCUCUGCUCCACCGCGGCCACCGCCGCCGCAGAAUUCUCACGGGAAUUCCACGGAGGCCGUCUCACCUCAACCCUCACCCACCAACAUCAACUUCAGUCGCGAAUACACCCUCACUGUCCAAACCAAUUCCUUCAGCUCAAUGCGUUCCAAAAUUCAUCAUUUGCAAUCACAAUUACCCGAACAAAACGGUGAGAUUCACCACCACAGCCACAGCUUACUUGACCCCAACAAAGAAUGCGUAGAAGAGGCACUUCUUCGUGCCAAGACUAGCCCCUUCACCACUCGUGUCAAAGACUACUUUGAUCAUAGCGAAAACACCACCACUCUGUGCCUUCUCUUACACCUUAGUGUCAUUCGCGCACGUGCCCUUUACUCUCCUCUUCAAACCCUCCUUGAAGUCCUUAAUCUAGACUCUUCCCUCUCCCAAUCCCAAUGCGAUCACAUCUUCAACUUAUUAGUUGAUUUUGAUCGCCUCGACAACCCUUUUCCUUCCCCUGACUCUCACAACUUCAACCAAAUGCACCAAUGCUAUUCCGAUCUCAAACCACAGCUUGAUCGCCGCCUCCGCAAAUCCUGCUCUAGAAUUCGCCUCAUCCGCCACGCCACAACUGGGCCUGCCCUCUGUUUCAUCUGCACUGCUGCUGGAGUUGAUUACAGAGAAGUUGCCGGUAUAGCGCAGCUUGAGGCUGCUACUAGGGGCACUUAUAAAUUGGACGAGCACCUUGUCACCAUUAACUGCCUCGUUGAUCGUAUCAGAGAUGCAGUUGACAAUCACAAGUUCCUCAUUCGCUUUGUAUUGGAGAGGGGCAACGAAAAGCAUCCCAUACAAAUGGUGAUGAAACGCCUCCAAAUAGACCAAGUCAGUAUCCAGCACACGCUUGAAAUUCUUGAGGAACAUAUAAACCUAUGCUUUAUCACCAUCAAUAGGGCCAGAGCUCUGCUCCUCCAGGAGAUCUAUCGUCAUCAAUCUUAGGUCCUUUGUGAUGUGAUUUGAUCAUGUUGCUUUGGGGCAAUUUCAUGUGCAACUCUUUGUCUUUGGCUAGAAUUGCGUCCAUCAGUUGUAUUAGUGUGUAAUAUUAGCGAAAGACUUUAGCCCUCUUGCUUAAAAUUCAAUGGCGGCUAGUGAUUCUUAGUAUUUAAAAGGUGGGUGUGGCACUGCUCAAUCUCCCCUGUGGAUCAGAGAACCAAGCAAUGUCAAGAGAUUGCAGGCACAGACAAGGAGCUGACUUAGCUACUAACUCUCACGAAAACUUUGUAUACAGUACGGGCUGAAGCUUCAACUGUGGCUUUAAGGUUACUCUCUUGAACAGAAAUGUCUUUUAUUCCAUCUAUAUUGCAGUUGCUUGUUUGAACCUUUUCAUUGAUUGACUAAUUAAUGGAAUAAAAUUAUUAGAAACAAAUUAGUUUUUCCCCCCUCAAGCAGGGUAAGACUAGAAUUCUUUAACACUUCAACUUCAUAGUCAACAUUGAUGAUCUUCGUAGAGGUUAUGCUUUGUGUAUUCCAAGAUUUCAAUUAUUUUGUGUAUACUUUGGUGGAGUUUUUGCACAUUCCAUGAUAAAGUUCAUUGUGAAUUCUGUAGUUGCAUUGCUAUAUGGAACUGUAUUUUAGUACUUCCUAUCUUCUUCUUUUUUGAAGUGGGUAUACUUACAGUCUAUCCAUGCAUGUGUAGCCAAGAAAUCUCCACCAUGCUUAUCACGCUAAUGAAUAAUUUUGCAGUGACACAAUCACAAAGUCUGAAAUGUGACAUCUUCUCAACUACUAGUUGUAUAACUUAUAAACUUAUCUAAGAAAACAAAUGUCCUUGCCCCCUUCCCCCUCCCACCCCCCUCUCUCUUUAUGAAGGUACAAAACUGUAGAGGAUUCUAGUGAUAUUUUCAACUUCAUUGAUCUGAGAAUGGCUUCAUACCAUUAUCUGAUCUGUGUGUCCUUAUAUUGGGAGACAAUCAACUAUGAGCCUAUCUGAUUACAGAACACAAUCAGAUACUUGAUAGAAGAUAUCAGGCCAACAACACUCACGAAGGAAGAUGCCCAAUUGUGACUUCAAACAAAUUCAGAUACUUCAAAUAUCGAAGUGAGUUGUGGCUAUGACACAAAGAAUGGAGGAUAUUAAGAUAUCAGGCCAACAAGAAUCUUGGAGGAAGAUACCAAUUUGCCCUAUUUGUGACCUUGGAAGAUGGCUAUUAUGAGCUAUGAGAUGAAAGAGAUCUGUUUUGCAUCAAAGAUGUUAACUCCGAAUUUAAUGAAUUAUUGAUCUUUCAUAAGAGAUAUCCAAGUUUUUGUAAGGUUAUAAAGAACAGCUUCAUUAUUUUAAAAUGAUAACAAUGCGUUUGAGACUGUUGUUAACCAAUAUUUGUAAAUUUAGAAGUGAAAGCUGGGGGCUGUUCACUGACUCACUAGUCAGAUUUUAGUUUUAUUUUAAUUGUGAUUUCUGUUUGGUUAUU